UGCGUAGGCGGCUGAUUAAGCCGGAUGUGAAAUCCCUGAGCUUAACUUAGGAAUUGCAUUCGAUACUGGUCAGCUAGAGUAUGGGAGAGGAUGGUAGAAUUCCAGGUGUAGAGGUGAAAUGCGUAGAGAUCUGGAGGAAUACCGAUGGCGAAGGCAGCCAUCUGGCCUAAUACUGACGCUGAGGUACGAAAGCAUGGGGAGCAAACA
rnacentral:rRNA from 1 species